AGCACAGUUUACUGCAGAAUACAUCAUCUCACAACAAAUAUGAACCAGUAACUAAACUGAAGUGGUGGUCACUCAACUCAUCUAUACUUCUCAACAAAAAUAACCACCAAUCAUGGAACAAUAAAUCAUUCCAAUCUAAUAUGUAAAGGAAGACACAACAGCAAUGGUUUUCGUUACUUUGAACACAUCUUCAUUCCAUCAAGCAGAGGACAAAUCCAAUCCAAACGGACCUGAUCAACCCAAAUCUAUGAUGAGAGGUCAGGGCACUCCGACAAGAUGGUCUUGCGUCCAGAGAGGGGUC